GUGGGGGAUAUUGCACAAUGGGGGAAACCCUGAUGCAGCGAUGCCGCGUGAGGGAAGAAGGUUUUCGGAUUGUAAACCUCUGUGGAGGGGGACGAUAAUGACGGUACCCCUUAAGGAAGCCACGGCUAACUACGUGCCAGCAGCCGCGGUAAUACGUAGGUGGCGAGCGUUGUCCGGAAUUACUGGGUGUAAAGGGAGCGUAGGCGGGAAAGCAAGUCAGAAGUGAAAACUAUGGGCUCAACCCAUAGCCUGCUUUUGAAACUGUUUUUCUUGAGUGAGUCAGAGGCAAGCGGAAUUCCCAGUGUAGCGGUGAAAUGCGUAGAUAUUGGGAGGAACACCAGUGGCGAAGGCGGCUUGCUGGGGCUUUACUGACGCUGAGGCUCGAAAGCGUGGGGAGCAAACAGG
rnacentral:rRNA from 1 species